rnacentral:sRNA from 1 species
UGCACUGAACUGGACAAUCACUUGGGGAUCAACGACAAGGACCUUGCUGAAUUUGUGAUCAGUCUUGCUGAGAAAAAUACCACCUUUGAUACUUUUAAGGCUUCUCUUGUCAAAAAUGGUGCAGAAUUUACGGAUUCUCUUAUUAGUAACUUGCUGCGUCUCAUACAAACCAUGCGGCCUCCAGCGAAGCCUUCCACUAGCAAAGGUAAGCAGAGCUUCCAGCUGAGCUUAGCUU